rnacentral:lncRNA from 1 species
UGCAACGCCGGACACGUGUAAGCCGAGCGAGUACUCGUUGUUUUUCAAAAACGCGUGUCCGAGAGCUUAUAGUUAUGCUUACGACGAUGGAACAAGUACGUUUACUUGCGCCGGAGCUGAUUACCUCAUCACUUUCUGUCCUUCUCCUAACCCAAGGUAAAUAUAUUUCAUUAUUUACUGCAAGUAAAUAAAAUUACUACAAAAGCUAUGGUUGUUUUCAAGUGGAAACACGAAUAAGAAUAUUUUACAAACAAUUUGGUAUUUUUUUUUUAUAAUUAUAAGCUUUUGCUCCAAUGAUCGUUCAAAUCAACUGAAGAAAAAAAAAUAAAAAGUUUGGUUCAGAUUCUUUUUGAAGAAUUCCGGUUUCGAUUUUUUAAUCACAUGAAAUAUUCCUAUACUUUUUUGAAUGUUGGCGAUAAAUAAUGAGUCACUUUUUGUUUGUAACGUUUAAUUUGAAGAAAGUGAGGCGUUUGGGACGCCGGAGUAUUGCUGUAGCGGCGCGUUUGCAACGCCGGACACGUGUAAGCCGAGCGAGUACUCGUUGUUUUUCAAAAACGCGUGUCCGAGAGCUUAUAGUUAUGCUUACGACGAUGGAACAAGUACGUUUACUUGCGCCGGAGCUGAUUACCUCAUCACUUUCUGUCCUUCUCCUAACCCAAGGUAAUAUAUAUUUCAUUAUUUACUGCAAGUAAAUAAAAUUACUACAAAAGCUAUGGUUGUUUUCAAGUGGAAACACGAAUAAGAAUAUUUUACAAACAAUUUGGUAUUUUUUUUUUAUAAUUAUAAGCUUUUGCUCCAAUGAUCGUUCAAAUCAACUGAAGAAAAAAAAAUAAAAAGUUUGGUUCAGAUUCUUUUUGAAGAAUUCCGGUUUCGAUUUUUUAAUCACAUGAAAUAUUCCUAUACUUUUUUGAAUGUUGGCGAUAAAUAAUGAGUCACUUUUUGUUUGUAACGUUUAAUUUGAAGAAAGGUGAGGUCAAAUCACCGUAUAAAAAUCAUGAGACGUGUUUGUCAUAAUGCACCGUGUUGUUUUGUCAAUUUGUGAAAUGAUGAGACAAGACGACAUUUUCAUUUUUCACCCGUUGCAAUAAUGAUAAUAAAUAAAAUAUCUAAUGUUCUCUGUUGUAUGCAUAGAUUUUUUUUUUCUCAUUCGAACGUCGGUGAACUGUGCCCAUGUGUGGUCCGACACGGCUCUUUUGUUCAUACAAUAAUUAAUAAUAUUUGUAUUUUUUGUAAUUUGUCUCAG